rnacentral:rRNA from 1 species
UACGGAGGAUCCAAGCGUUAUCCGGAAUUACUGGGCGUAAAGAGUUGCGUAGGUGGCAUAGUAAGUUGGUAGUGAAAUUGUGUGGCUCAACCAUACACCCAUUACCAAAACUACUAAGCUUGAGGAUGAGAGAGGUAGCUGGAAUUCCUAGUGUAGGAGUGAAAUCCGUAGAUAUUAGGAGGAACACCGAUGGCGUAGGCAGGCUACUGGCUUAUUCCUGACACUAAUGCACGAAAGCGUGGGGAGCGACCGGG